GCUCGAUGAGUAGGGCGGGACACGUGGUAUCCUGUCUGAAUAUGGGGGGACCAUCCUCCAAGGCUAAAUACUCCUGACUGACCGAUAGUGAACCAGUACCGUGAGGGAAAGGCGAAAAGAACCCCGGCGAGGGGAGUGAAAAAGAACCUGAAACCGUGUACGUACAAGCAGUGGGAGCACAGGUUUACCUGUGUGACUGCGUACCUUUUGUAUAAUGGGUCAGCGACUUAUAUUCUGUAGCAAGGUUAACCGUAUAGGGGAGCCGUAGGGAAACCGAGUCUUAACCGGGCGUUAAGUUGCAGGGUAUAGACCCGAAACCCGGUGAUCUAGCCAUGGGCAGGUUGAAGGUUGGGUAACACUAACUGGAGGACCGAACCGACUAAUGUUGAAAAAUUAGCGGAUGACCUGUGGCUGGGGGUGAAAGGCCAAUCAAACCGGGAGAUAGCUGGUUCUCCCCGAAAGCUAUUUAGGUAGCGCCUCGUGAAUUCAUCUCCGGGGGUAGAGCACUGUUUCGGCUAGGGGGCCAUCCCGGCUUACCAACCCGAUGCAAACUGCGAAUACCGGAGAAUGUUAUCACGGGAGACACACGGCGGGUGCUAACGUCCGUCGUGAAGAGGGAAACAACCCAGACCGCCAGCUAAGGUCCCAAAGUCAUGGUUAAGUGGGAAACGAUGUGGGAAGGCCCAGACAGCCAGGAUGUUGGCUUAGAAGCAGCCAUCAUUUAAAGAAAGCGUAAUAGCUCACUGGUCGAGUCGGCCUGCGCGGAAGAUGUAACGGGGCUAAACCAUG
rnacentral:rRNA from 1 species